UACGAAGGGGGCUAGCGUUGUUCGGAUUUACUGGGCGUAAAGCGCACGUAGGCGGAUUGUUAAGUCAGGGGUGAAAUCCCGGAGCUCAACUCCGGAACUGCCUUUGAUACUGGCAAUCUUGAGGCUGGAAGAGGUUAGUGGAAUUCCCAGUGUAGAGGUGAAAUUCGUAGAUAUUGGGAAGAACACCAGUGGCGAAGGCGGCUCACUGGCCCGGUACUGACGCUGAGGUGCGAAAGCGUGGGGAGCAAACAGG
rnacentral:rRNA from 1 species